rnacentral:lncRNA from 1 species
UUUUUUUUUUCCUUUUUAUGGCUGCACCUGUGGCCUACGAAAGUUUCACCUGAGCUGCAUUUGCAACCUAUACCUCGGCUUGAGAUAACAGCAGAUCCUUAACCCACUGAGGGAGGCCAGGGAUCACGGACACUAUGUUGGGUUCUUAACCCACUGAGCUACAACGGGAACUCCAGAAGGCAUCCUCAAGACAGGCCUUCCCCAAGCGCGUGGUCCAAGGUGGCUUCCCAGCCUCUGCCACAUCACCUUCUGAUUUAUUAAUUACUAUGUGAUUUUACCUCAAGCUUUCAUUUGUGUACUUGCUCAUUGUCAGGCUCUCAUUCCAAGAAUAUAAGCUCUACAAGAACAGAAACCUUCUGGGAGUUCCUGUUGUGGCUCAGUGAAUAACGAAUCUGACUAGGAACCAUGAGGUGGUGGGUUCGAUCCCUGGCCUUGCUCAUGAGCUAAGGAUCCCUGUGUCUGUGGGCUGUGGUGUAGGUUGCAGAUGCAGCUCAGAUCCAGCAUUGCUUCGGCUGUGGUGUAAGCCAGCAGCUACAGCUCCAAUUCUACCCCUUAGCCUGGGAAACUCCCUAUGCUCUGGGUGCAUCCCUAAAAAGGCAACAACAACAACAAAAUCCCAAACUGUAGUAUUACCCAGUUGACCACCCAAAUUCUUAACCAGAUUUCAAAUAGCAAAGAUCUGAGACCAUGGAGGGUACUCAAUAGAGCUGCUUCGCCUCUGGAGGCUGUUCUCCAUGAGAACCCAAAUGCACCAGCAGUAGCACUAGAAUAAGUGGAGUGUUUCUGGGGGUGAUGCUGAGGCUGGGAUAACUCUCAGUGACACAGACAUUUCCAUGUACUUCAGACAAGAUUUACUGAGUUUCAAUCCAAAGUCUGCUUAAAAUAAAGAUGAACAGAGAGUGGCCUCGCCAUCAAGAAAUCAGCAGUCGGGAGUUCCCAUUGUGGCUCAGUGGAAACGAAUCUGAUUAGCAUCCAUGAGGAUACAGGUUCGAUCCCUGGCCUCGAUCAGUGGGUUAAGGAUCCAGCAUUGCCGUGAGCUGUGGUGUAGGUCACAGACAUGGCUCAGAUCUGACAUUGCUGUGGCUGUGGGGUAGGCCAGCAGCUGCAGCUCUGAUUCAAGCCCUAGUCUGGGAACCUCCAUAUGCUGUAGGUGCCACCCUAAAAAGACCAAAAAAGAAAAAGAAAAAAGAAAGAAAGAAAGAAACCAGUGGUCUAAGGCAGCAGCUAGUUCUCAAAGUGUGGCCUGGGGACCACCUGAGGGUUCCUUUCAGAGGGUUGGUGAGGUCAUAACUCUUUCAUAACAGUACUAAUAUGCUAGCUGCCAUUUUUUCUCUUUGUCUUUCUCAAGGUACAGUGAAGUUUUCCAAAGGCUACAGGACAUGUUUAAUGUCAACAGGUUGAAUGCAGAAGCAGGUCUGAGAAUCUAGUGCUCUUUUAUCAAGUCAGAUAUUAAUAAUUAGUUUGGCAAAAAUAUAAAGCAACACCUCUCUUCUCACAAAAUUUUUUAUGAUUUGGAAAAUCUGGUUAUUUUUCAUAAAACUAUGUUAAUUAUAUUAUUAUGCAAUAGUGAUAGUACUAUUUUUUUUUUUUUUUUGUCUUUUUGCUAUUUCUCGGGCCACUCCCGUGGCAUAUGGAGGGUCCCCAGGCUAGGGGUUGAAUCGGAGCUGUAGUCUCUGGCCUACGCCAGAGCCACAGCAACUCGGGAUCCGAGCUGCAUCUGCAACCUACACCAGAGCUCAGGGCAACACUGGAUCGUUAACCCACUGAGCAAGGGCAGGGACUGAACCCACAACC